GUGCCAGCAGCCGCGGUAAUACGGAGGGUGCAAGCGUUAAUCGGAAUUACUGGGCGUAAAGCGUGCGUAGGCGGAUACUUAAGUCGAAUGUGAAAGCCCCGGGCUUAACCUGGGAAUUGCAUUCGAUACUGGGUGUCUAGAGUGUGGUAGAGGAUAGUGGAAUUCCAGGUGUAGCGGUGAAAUGCGUAGAUAUCUGGAGGAACAUCAGUGGCGAAGGCGGCUAUCUGGACCAACACUGACGCUGAGGUACGAAAGCGUGGGUAGCAAACAGGAUUAGAUACCCUGGUAGUCCACGCUGUAAACGAUGUCAACUAGCCGUCGGGGCCUUCGGGUUUUGGUGGCGCAGCUAACGCGUGAAGUUGACCGCCUGGGGAGUACGGCCGCAAGGUUAAA
rnacentral:rRNA from 1 species